CACACAUGGCACUUUGUUGCCUCGGGUCCUGAUGACAAGCGAGACAGCUGUUUUUAAUUUGUGUUCCUGUCUCAUUUUUAACGUGUGUUGCAGUGUUUGUACUGCUGCUGCACAGCGCAGCUUCUUGCAGCUCGUUUGAACUUAUUGCAUCACAAUUCUUUUUGGCAGGAUCCGAUGGAGAUGCUGUCGCAUCAACAUUGUUUUUGGGAGACAUCGAACCGGAUCCAACUGAUGGAGAGGACGAGAUGGAACCAGACAGCACUGACGAUGAGGCAUCAAACGACUUGCCAGAGAGCAUGCAAUUGUUACAAGCACAGUUGCCUGCACCAUCACACCACAUGGGUGGAUUUUCAAGAAACCUGCAGGCUCGCAUGCAAGAGAAGUACCUGGAGAAAUGUCGAGCAUAUAAUGCAUUGC